GAUGCUGCGAUAUGCAAAUUGGUUGAACUUUCGUGCAUGGUUGCUUCUGAGCAGUGCUUUGUCAUUUUGCUGACUGAAAACGACGACGUGUUCCCUCAACAGUUCCUUAAAGAGAAACAGAAACAGAAAUCGUUAAAGAAAACUAUGGUCUCUUAACUGGACGGAAGUUUUACGAUUCUUGGUUUGCUGACUGACAAAUCUCAUCUCGUACGAAAAAAACUGUGGUUAUUCAUCGUCGUCUUAUCGAGCCUUAUUCAGUCUCAAGGCGCUGAAAUUAGCCUUACUGAUCGGGACGUUUGGAUCGCAAGCAAAAGGCUAAGAGUCUUUUUCGUGCGAGCCAGGCCAGCACGAUUCACAGCAGCAGUAAAAAGACCGAAAGACCAACGAUAGCAUUUAUCAGCCUUAGUUGUUCCUCAAGGCACUGAAAUUAGCCUCACUGGUAAGGACAUUGUAUUAUAGUGUAAUUUAGCUGUUUCUGUAGCGGGCCAGGACUUGCUCAUCAUGAAACUGAAACGAAACAUCCACCUGUUUUCAAACAACAGCAAGAAAUGCAGUACUAGUCUUCGAUCUCGAGACUGAUAAAGGAUCACGAACUUUCUUGUCGAUUUAGUCAUUGCGUAUGUUUUGAUGUUGGGGAAGUUUUGCGAAUGUAUGUUGUCUAAAAGAACAGCGUAGAAAUAAUCUGUCAAAAACAACUCCGCAGUCGAUUAGAGAUCUUUUUCGAAUUUAUAGUUGUCCAUAAACAUUUUCCCCCAAUUUUGUAGCCUUAUACGCUC